rnacentral:rRNA from 1 species
AACGAACGCUGGCGGCAGGCCUAACACAUGCAAGUCGAGCGGACCCUUCGGGGUUAGCGGCGGACGGGUGAGUAACGCGUGGGAAUAUGCCCUUCUCUACGGAAUAGUCCUGGGAAACUGGGGGUAAUACCGUAUACGCCCUUUGGGGGAAAGAUUUAUCGGGGAAGGAUUAGCCCGCGUUGGAUUAGGUAGUUGGUGGGGUAAUGGCCUACCAAGCCGACGAUCCAUAGCUGGUUUGAGAGGAUGAUCAGCCACACUGGGACUGAGACACGGCCCAGACUCCUACGGGAGGCAGCAGUGGGGAAUCUUAGACAAUGGGGGCAACCCUGAUCUAGCCAUGCCGCGUGAGUGAUGAAGGCCUUAGGGUUGUAAAGCUCUUUCAGCUGGGAAGAUAAUGACGGUACUAGCAGAAGAAGCCCCGGCUAACUCCGUG